UAAAAAUACUGUUUAUUUAGUAUCUGGUAUUCUCCUCUGAUCUGCUUUGAUGUACCAUACUAGGUACAUACUAGGUUUCAUUUCUACAUUUCAGAAGUUUAUAGGUUCACAAAAUUGUCUGUAACUUUUCUAACACUCACUUUUCUUCUGAGCUGCAACUGCAGGCAUGGCUCGAGGCUAUGCCUAGUUCAUGGAGUCGAUGUGACUGAGACAAGAUAAUGCCAAGCCUUAAAGGGACUAUUCCCUGCAAGCACAUUUUAACACCCUGUUGACUUUUAUUCUGUUUUCCUCUAGCUCUAGUAUUGUAACUGUGUCAAUAUGCAAAUAUGUAUUACAUAAGGUUGCCUCUUGGGCUGGAAAAGCAGGAUAUCUGCAUAUAAAUGUUCAUUAAGAAGAAUCCAGUACAAUAUUUUAACAUACAUAAAAGGAAAUCAGCCUCAAAUACAAGACUCAAAGAAAUACAACAUUUUGCUGAGAGCCCCAUGUGGACUGCACCUCUCUCGUGCCUUUGAAAUAAAUACCCCUCUUCAGAAAAGACGAAGAGAAAAACACAUGAAUAAUAGAAUAAUGUAUAAUAAACCAUGCAGCAAUGGAAUAUGUUCUAAGUAGUGCUUCAUAAUCACUAUACAUUCCUGACACAACUGCACAGAAUCAUUCUUGAAGGAGUUAUGAGUCAAAGUCACCUCCAAGCUACAAAAAAAAAACCAAACCAAAACAACCCACCAAAACACCAAUGUAACUAUUUUCAGAUAAAUCAACAGUAUUCCAUACCUGUGCAUGACUGUCCCUUAUUUAAACUGCCUUUUCCCUUACACAGUGACAUUCAUGUCCUUACAACCCAAGGCUUAUGUGCAUCACACAUGCCAUUAUCUAGAUCUAUAUUUUUAUUUUCAAACACUGUCUUUCCUUUGGAAGCAUUAUCCUGUAUGUGUCUGUGGGCUUUAUGAAUCAGAAAAGUUGCUACUUGCAGGGAACACGUUGCUUCAGUGCAGAAGCAAGAAACUGAAAGUACAGUGAGCUCUGCUACCAUAAAUAUGAAAAUUGGAUUCCUCCUCUGCUCUGCAGCAUCCUCAGUGCCCAGGAAGCUGUCAGGGCUCAGAAACACAUCCCAGAGGCAGGUAUCUAACAGCCACCUUGUAAACAUACUGAUCAAGCCAUUGUCCAAUCUGUGGUGCUCCCAACUUUGCAUCAUUAAAUUACUGCUGUACCCUAUGUUAAAAGUAUCUGUAUGCUGUAGUAAUUACAAGGAAAUAUUUUAUUACUAUUAUUGUAUAAAGCAAUUCUUUGUCCAAAGCUUAAAAUGACAGGCCUCUUAUGUGGUAAAGAAUAAAUGUGAAACAAAACAUCUUUCGAAAUCAUUGAGGCAUCGAGUUGAAGACAGUGAUCUCUGUCAUCUGAGUUUUAUCAUGUCAUUCUGUCCCAAGUUAGGAGCAGGAACACUGAAAAACUGACCUGUUCCAAGUGGCUUUUAACUGCCCCUCUGACUUGCAGCCCCUCAGGGAGCUGCUAGACAAAUGAAAGGGAUGCAAACCCGAUGCUUUCCUGGGCACAAGAUGUGUAGUAACAUCCAAUUUGUGUGUAGAGUGGUGAAGCUAAGAAAUCCUUUAAUUUCCUUCCCUGUACCAAGCAUACAGAAAGACAGACUGAGUCUGAUUCUUGCUUUUUAAAGUAUGAAGAGAUAUUGAGACAAAAAAAGCAUUGCCAAGUCAACAGGGAAAACAUAGGACAUUUCUUCUUCAAGGAAACCAAAAACCAUUCAGGUCUACAAACUCAUAAUAAUGCAGUGCUGCUUAAAAAUUGUCAGUACAGAUACAUGCCAAGGACAAACCUGAAAGGGAUGAACUGGAACAGCUCUCCCUGGAGGCCCAUUAGACUCUUCCUUUGGAUGGAACUACCUGGCCAUUAGUAAAUACUCAUAAACAGAAAUACCUGUGACCAUAAAGAAUGGGUCUGUGGCCACAUGGUGAAUAACAGAAACCCAGCAACAGGUGGAUGGAGAGGAGCAGCUCUCUUGAGAGGAUGCACCACAUGCAGUUGUGGUGGUUUAAACAAGCUCUACACCUCCUCAGGCACACCCUGAACUCUCUGUGCAGUUUAGUGUACACAUGGCUGAGAUCACCGAUAAAAAACAGUCUAAUAUCACAUUACAAAAUACAUCAACAUCUGUAGAACACUUAAAGGACCUAAUAAUAUGAAAUGCUAAGUUUACUUCCAAGCUUUGUUUAUUUGUUUUGAUUUUGGAUGAAAUCGAACACAUAGAAGGCAGUCUGCCAGUUUAAUUACAAUUAAAAAAAAUAAAUCUGUGCUGCACUUUUGUCCUCUUUACUAACUCAAAUGUAUUCAUGACCUGCCCAUUGUGGGUAUUUGAUGCACCAUUAAAUAUAGAAAGUAGCUCUAUAUCGUUAACAUUUUCUGUAGGAUCACUGCACUUGGAAGAAGGUAGCUGAAGAUGUGGAACUAAUAUAAUACCAACAGUUAAAGAGGCUGACACACUAGCAAACAACCAAUUUAAAAUAGCAGAAAAUAUUAAAAAAAAAUACUUUUCUGAAAAUAUGUUUAAAAAUAUGCCAUAUUUCCUUUUGAAUAUCCAGAUUUUAAAAUGUGUAACCACUCUUGCAUAAUUACACAGACUAAUACAUAAAGAUAUGAAUAUAAACAAACAUAACUUUAAGUAUAUAUCAAGUAUAUCAGAAAGAUCCCAUAUAAAGAACAAUGAAUAUUAGGAAAAAGGAAAAACAGGAAGUCAUUAUUAAAUGUGUAAUUGUUGUACAUGACAAUGGCAACAUUCCCAUGGAUUUAAAUCAGAGCUGCAUGUCCAACAAUGACACCUUCUUUCAAAAGGAUUUUAAAAGGAUUUUAUCUGAUUUUGUUGAGAAUAAUCUUUUAAGUGAACAGAAAUACAGAAGCUGCACUUACAUCAUCUGUGGUCUGCAGAAUUACUGUGUGUCAAUAUUUCAGAAUGAUUUGUAACUCAGAAACCUCAAAGGAAAAUGAAAGGAAAUGACACAGGGACAGAGGCUCAGAUGGGGUUGAUUAUCAAUAGAUUCCUGAGGGUUUACACCUGUUGAAGAUCAACCAACAAAUGUUUUUCACACAGAAAGGUGAUCAGAAAAAUUCUUUGGCUCAUGCUGGGUGGGUAUUUUCAGCUAUUUUUACCAUCACUACAACAUUAGGCUGCAUUAGAAACUCGUUCAUAUAAAAAACAGUAUGAUCAAGGGAAAAACCAUUCUAGUUUGGAAAGGUUAGAUGUGUUUCAGAACUGAAAUUAUAGGAAUGCAAAAAUCAAAUAAAAUUUGGAAAAACCAAAAAAAAAACAUUGGAACAAAGAACGGCCCAUCUUAAAAAGGAAAAUUAUUUAGAAACACAUUAGGAUAAUCCAAGGGAAAUGAUUUUGCUUUCAACAUGUCUUUACUUCACUUUUGGCGGACUAGAAGUGUUUAUGGCUCUAUUCUUACCUAAAUUGUCUUAAACUAUAUAUUUAUGCUAUGUGCAAAUUAAUACAUAAUCUUAUGAAGAGCAAACUUGCCUAAGCAUAGAGAAAAACAGUUUUUAGUACCAGACUUCUGUCUCAUGAGAAUAAUCUUUCAGCUCAGUUUCUUUUUUUUUUUAAGAAAGAAACACUUUACAAUUCUACCUCUACAUUCCCUAGAGACAAUUCUCUAACACAGUUUUGAGCCAAAUAAAAUCCCUUGAGAAAACUAAGAGAAACCAAGAAUGAGUUUUUCCUGAUGGAGAUUUAAUGGAUUUUAGCUGUGAAAAUUAAUAAAUUUUAAAUCACUUCCCAAAUUAUUGUUACAUGUAUUAGAGGGUAAGGAGUAUGCCAGCCAGCAAUUAGAUGCAGCCAUUCAACAGCACAAAGUAGCCUCACACAACAAUUUAUGGCAUACAUUGAGGAAUGCAAAAUCCAAUUAAAAUUACAGGGCAGUUUAGCAGGGCAGAAUUUAAUUAGCAAAGAUAGAAUUUUGCCAGAAGACGGUGGCUAACACCUGUUCUGAAGUGUAAAGUGACAAGGAAUACGUGGUAACAAACAUUUGGGUCAUAAUUCAUGUUGCAUUUGCGAGACAGUUCCUCCAGGGGCACUUAGACCCUUGUUUCACUGGGGAAGUGCCGAGUUCUCAGCUCCCAGUGCUGCUGCAGCAGCCUCUGACUCAUCCCAAAAUCCUAAUCCAACCCAAGCAGUACUGCUGGAGCACUGAAAUGCUGAUUUUCCUAUUUCUGCAUGCAGUUGAAAUCCCAUCUAUUUGCAUCCUUGCGCUCCCCUGUGUGAAGCUGCAGACAUUCCUGUAAGCAGCCAGGGGUGGCUCCGGGACCCGCGGGUUGUGGCCCCAGCACAUGGCAAGUGGGCUUGAGGUCAUUGCCUUGGUCAGAGAACAAGGUCAAAAUGGCAGGGAGGACUUCAGUGAGUGAAACUGGAUUCACCCAGAAUGUCCCACCCGGGAGGAUAAUCCGCAGCACCUGCCCAGCCACAAAUGCAGAAACAAAAAACCCUCAGUUCUACCAUACUUUCCAAGUUGAAUUAAUCUAAGAUUUUUUUUUUAAAUUUCAAUAUUUACCUUUUGCAUGCCCGAAGUAGCAAUGAGGACACUUACUUACCUAAAGAUAUUUGAACACCUCCUGAAAUACAGAUGACUAAUUUUUUAAAUGUACCCAACAGUAGAAAUAUUAAAAAUUAACUAAAGCCAGGAAUUGAAUCAUCACCAUUUCCUGUUAUAUUCUUCUGGUAUUUUUUGCUUGCUUAGGAGAGUGUUGGUAUUUGCUUUGAUCCACAUGCAAAACAUCCCUGGAAACAUACCCUUCAUUUACAGUUCUAGAAGGGAUAUAUUGUCUAAUAAGAGCAUUUUCUACAUCUGGCAAGUUGUUACAUUCACUAACAUUGUGAAUUAAAAUCCAGAUUCAAUUCUACUAUCUUUAAUGACUGCAGUUAAUGUUUUUCUCUAGGUUCACUAGCAACUUCAUUAUCAUUAACAUCAAGUCACUGGACUACCUCACUGAUGAAAGAUGAAGCCACUGAUUAAGCUGUUCAUUAUAUCCAUCAGCAUUAUACUUAUGAGUUAAAAUCCUAUCCUAUUAGUGAUGAAAGAAAGGAAUACAUAUCAGAAACCCAGCAUUAAUGAACCCCACUGUUACUAAAUCCACAUGUAGCUACACUGCAGGACAAAUAAAGCAUCAAGAUUAAAGCUUUGAGCUUUGACAAUUACAUAAAUAAUGAGAGAGAAAAUAAUUUUUAAACCUCGAAGCAAAGAGUGUUUCAAAAAAAUUCAUUUUUGCCUCAAGGCUGCCCUUUGAAUAACAGAAAUAUGGAGCACCAUUACUGUAAUUCUCACAUAAGAAUUUUAAUUCUAUUUAGAAAAUAAAAAUUUUCAUCAUAAACGAAGGUGUCUGAAAGGUAUUGCUUUCAAUUAAUUUUACUGAAAGCAAAAUAAAGCCUUGUGAUUUGGGAAAUUGUGAAUUAAAUCUAUAUAUUAUUGGUUCUCCAAGUGCUACAUCUUAGGGUGGAUGAAAUAAAAGCAAUUACUGGUAAUCCUGAAUGGAAAAUAGAAUGCUUUACAAGUCCAUCUCACCAAGCCAUCCAAAGCAAUAGAAAUUACUGUAUGUUCUGAAGUGGUUUUAUUGUUUUAUUAAAUAUAUUCAGCUUUAACAAAUCUGAUUUAUUUUGAAAACGUUUGUUUUUUUAAAAUUGCUUUUACACUGGCAAGAAAGCCUCCAGGGCAUGAUAUGGGCUGUGUGAUUGCUAUUUGUUUGUGCACUGUGGAUUUCCUUCCAACCCACUUCUUACCUAGAGCAUUUGGUUACCCUAACUCAGCUCUCAGUCAGCAAGUGAGACUUAUCUGCUGAAAAGUGCCUGCGAGCUGUUGAUUGAAGAAAUGCCUCAAUUCCUGCGUGUGCACCUAGCCUCAAUUAUAACCUGCAUCUAUAAAAUCAGGUAUUUUAAUACUUCCUACAGCAGCACUGCUUUCAAAUCUCAGCAAUAGGUAGGAACAAUUUUAAGAGACUAAAACAUUACUUAAGAUACCUUAAAGAGCAUUUUGGUUCUAAAAACUGAAUUGCUCUAACUCUGGCUGACAAAAGGCACACUGGAUAAGGAAUUGUAACAUAGGCUGGAAUCUCCACUUUCCAUUAUUGCCCUGUCUCUCAGCAGAGAAGAUUUAAUUGCUGUUAUGAUGAUUAUUGUUGCUAUUUUUAUCACUGCACUCUCAUUCUGCACCUCUGGGCUGUGAGAGUAGAACAAGACUACGUUUACUGUUUACUGUUAGUUACAGACCUGGGGAACUUCAGGAUGUGCAACACAACUCUGCUCUGAGAGUCACUAGAACCAGAAAACAGGAAUAACGACUAAAAUGGAUUAGCUGUUACUGAAGAUUGGAGAAGUCCCACCUGAUUGGCAUUUAGAUAGCUUUGAUCAAUAUGCAAGGGUGAGAAGUCACUUUACAUGUUAUUUUUUUUCACAUAAUAUUGUUUCUUCUUCAUCCUAAUAAUGAAUUGCCCUAAUAAGAAAAGGCUUUUAACUGAAAUGGGGCAAGGCAGCUGUAAGAAAAUUGAAAAAUGUGCAAGGAAUAUGCUUAAGUACAUGACUGUGCCUUUAUUCAUCACAUAUUUAUUAAACCCAUCAGAUUUAAUCAAUAAAAGCUGGGUUGAUUCAUGAUUUACCAGUGCUGAUCAGUACUCUAUUACGUUAGGCUCUACCUUGGAGACUUACCAUAUGUGGCUUCCACACAGUGAAGGCAGCUAGAUCAAAUUUAGCCUCUUUCCAAAAUCAGAUUUAAGUGUCAGUGAUCUCAAGCAAAUAUGUUCCACACAUUUCACAUCAAUUUUAGAUUUUACUUUGUAAAAAACAGUAGGUAACAGCAUAAUCUCAUCAUUUAAAUUUGUAACCCCAUGUCAAAUAGAAAGCCUCACAGAGAGUCAUACCUCCUCUAGAUCCUCAACCUUCAGUUGUUCUGACCUUCCACCUGUGCUGUCAGAAUUUAAACUACAGAAGGAAAAGAAACCGAAACAAAAACUCCGAAAAAAUUCCAAAAAACCACUUUAAAAAUCCGUCCUACAAACCAGAUGAAAACUCUGGCUGCUUGCAAAGAUGAGAACAUAACUGCAGCAUCCAAACCAGCAUGACCUUGUCGCGCAAGUUUUCCUAAAAACUCUGACCUGAGGGCUUCUCAUUGAAAUAUUCCAGAUCCUCGUGUCUCCUUGAGCUCUGGUGCUAUUAAUAACAUGGGCACCAGGGCUUAUUCUCAUCUCUGGUUUGGGGUUUUUUGUGGUUUUUUUAGUUCUUCAAACAAAUGUCUGUUUCCUGUGACAAAUAUUUAGUCUCAUACUUGAUAUUCUACAGUUUUAUAAGAAAAAACAAAAAAAUUUCUGUCCUUGUUGGAGAUUGAUUGAGACACAAAAGCAGGAAGUUUUUUCCUCAUCACAAUCCCAUUCUUAUGUGCAAAUGCCCUCAAUAUUCAAAGUGUUUAAUUUUAUCAGUCAACUUCCUAUACAGUAAAAAAUAAAAGGCACUAACUGGAUGUUUCAGGUAAAAGAAGUCUGGCUUGAGUGCUCCUGAAAAUUACACUCUCUUAACUAGAUAAAUUCUAAGUACUUCUCUGUUUUAUAAGAGAAAAAAAAAAAAAAAGUCCAAAGUCAAAGAAAUAGGAAAAAGCCCCAGGAAUUCAUGCAUAUGUUACAUAAAUGCAAUCAGGUGGAGUGCAUUUAAUCCCCUGGAUUUCAAUAUACCUGCUCUAUUUUUCAAAUCUUGUUGGUAUUGAAAAUCUCUUGAUUACCUGAAAUAAUUUGCUUUUCUUAAAAAUACAUACAUAAAUAAUACUAGAUUUAUUUUUAAAUGUUAUAAGUGAAUACAAUAUGAUAAAUAAUUAAUAAAUCUAGCAAAAAUAUAAUAUAAUCUGUUAAUUGUGUACAAGCAGGCCAGACGGCGUAUAGCUUGUAAUCUUUGGGGAGAGACAAAUCAGAUUAGUGUGCUCCCAUACACUGCCUAAUGCUAUCAAUUUCUGCUUGGUAUCUGUAAGAACAGCAAAAAAAAAAAAAAAAAAAAGGAAAAUUAAUGUGUAACAGUCUAUAGCAUUAUCUUAUUAUGCAGUUUGCACUAAUGGGGCCAAUCUGUGCACGGUGUGCUUGCUCUUGGGGAGUCAUUAGGUGCCUGAGUCAAAAAACAUGUGGAAUAGAAAAAGCUUUACAAAACCAGCUUUAAAUAAAGAGGUAAUUACACGAAAAGGGCAUAAUGUUGACAGCAAUUAUUGCUGCUAACCUGGAAAUACAAUUUACCUAAGCAGUUCUCUCACAGUAGCACUGUUUCCUAUGAGAAGCUAUGUUAUAUUUCACUUCUCUUACUAUGGGCAGCUUCUUCCUCAUGUUCUAUGCUCCUAACAAUCAGUCUAGAUUACAACAGCUUCAACUCAUGCAGUGGGUUUGCCAGAGAAACAUUAAUACAGUACAAAAAGAAACUAUAGCACAGACAAAUGUCACCACAGGUCACAGAAGUGACCAAAUGAGUAGUACAUGUAGAAUCAGAAAUCUGUUUCCCAGUCUGGUGCUUUUCCACACCAGCUGCUCACCCUUACUGGGACACAACUCUCAUCAAUGAGCUUUCUUUAAAAGAUGCACAUUUUUGUCAACCUAAUAACAACAAUCAGUGACCUGACCUAUAAAAAGGAAUGCACCUUGUUCUACACCUUAGAGCAGAGCUCCUUAAAUGGGAAUUUUCAUCAGGUAGAGUCUCCAGGGUCUGGUGCCAGUGUGCACUACUUGGAAGUAGGUGACACAUCUGAGAUAUUUAACAUUUCCUGCUCCUUUUUCUUGUAACAAUUGUACACACAUAUCCUUAGCAUUUAGUCACCAGUUUUCUCUACAGAAUACAAAUAUAGCCAAAGAAAUAUCAUUCAUAUAAGUCUGGCAUGAUGUCACCAGGUUGGCUUUUAAUCCCUGAGCCACACAGGAGUGAGCUGCAGAUGCUCUGCUCAACAUGUAGGAAGCAGUGUUGAGUGAUGGGCUGUGCUUAGAUACCCUGGAAAUUGAAAAAAAAAAAAA